GAAGAAAGAAACCCAAAACUAGGCUUCUAACUUAAGUUUUAAGCAGUGUAAUUCUGUUUUUUCUUCU
rnacentral:tRNA from 1 species